rnacentral:tRNA from 1 species
GCCCCCGUAGCUCAGUGGAUAGAGCAGCGGUUUCCUAAACCGCGUGCGGCCGUUCAAUUCGGCCCGGGGGCA